GCCAGGCAUGGUGGCUCACGCCUGUAAUCCCAGCACUUUGGGAGGCUGAGGCAGGUGGAUCACCUGAGGUCAGGAGUUUGAGACCAGCCUGACCAACAUGGUGAAACCCUGUCUCUA
ensembl:misc_RNA Metazoa_SRP Metazoan signal recognition particle RNA